rnacentral:rRNA from 1 species
GGAAGGAUCAUUAUCGAAUUAUAAGCGAGGGUUGUCGCUGGCCUUGAAAGAGGCAUGUGCACGCCCGAGCUCUUAAAUCCACAACACACCUGUGAACCCACCGUAGGCCUUCGGGCUUAUGUAUCAUAUACUCUGAAUGUGUCAUAGAAUGUUCAUGUUGCCNUAAAACGCAAUCAAAUACAACUUUCAACAACGGAUCUCUUGGCUCUCGCAUCGAUGAAGAACGCAGCGAAAUGCGAUAAGUAAUGUGAAUUGCAGAUUUUCAGUGAAUCAUCGAAUCUUUGAACGCACCUUGCGCUCCUUGGUAUUCCGAGGAGCAUGCCUGUUUGAGUGUCAUUAAAUUCUCAACCCCACCGAUUUGCUUUGGGGGGAUUGGACUUGGAGUGUGCUGGCGAAGGUCGGCUCCUCUUUAAAUGCAUCAGUGGAGAGAAACUUGCCCCAGUGUGAUAAUCCUGUUGCGCUGUGGUGGGCGAAAGUCUGCUUCCAACCGUCCCUCCGGGGACAUACGUCAUCUCAUUUUGACCUCAAAUCAGGUAGGACUACCCGCUGAACUUAAGCAUAUCAAUAAGCGGAGGAAAAGAAACUAACAAGGAUUCCCCUAGUAACUGCGAGUGAAGCGGGAAAAGCUCAAAUUUAAAAUCUGGCGGUCGCUAUGGCCGUCCGAGUUGUAAUCUGGAGAAGUGUUUUCCGCGUCGGACCGUGUACAAGUCUUCUGGAACGGAGCGUCAUAGAGGGUGAGAAUCCCGUCUCUGACACGGACUGCCGAUGCUUUAUGUGAUACGCUCUCGAAGAGUCGAGUUGUUUGGGAAUGCAGCUCAAAAUGGGUGGUAAAUUNCCAUCUAAAGCUAAAUAUUGGCGAGAGACCGAUAGCGAACAAGUACCGUGAGGGAAAGAUGAAAA